CAUCCUGUGUGUGUCCCCACCAUGGUCUGGACCGUGCUUCUGUUCCAGCUCCUGGCUUAUAUAUCAGGGGUGGAUUCUCAGACCGUGGUGACCCAGGAGGCAUCCAAGUCCGUAUCUCUAGGAGGAACAGUCACACUCACCUGUGGCCUUAGCUCUGGGUCAGUCUCUACAAGUCACCACCCGACCUGGUUACAGCAGACCCUAGGCCAGGCUCCACGCAGGCUAAUCCACAGCACAAGCAGCCGCCCCUCUGGGAUCCCUGACCGCUUCUCUGGCUCCAUCUCUGGGAACAAAGCCGUGCUUACCAUCUCGGGGGCCCAGCCCGAGGACGAAGUGCACUAUCACUGUGCUCUGCACAUGGGUAGCUAUAUUGUCACAGUGAUGUAA